ACGGGAUAGGGAAUAAAAAGGCAUCUUUUUAUUUUUAAAAGACCUUUUUCGGAAGGUAUGCUUAAAGAGGGGCUUGCGUCACAUUAGUUAGUUGGCAGGGUAAAGGCCUACCAAGACUAUGAUGUGUAGCUGGACUGAGAGGUUGAACAGCCACAUUGGGACUGAGACACGGCCCAAACUCCUACGGGAGGCAGCAGUAGGGAAUUUUCGGCAAUGGAGGAAACUCUGACCGAGCAACGCCGCGUGAACGAUGAAGUAUUUCGGUAUGUAAAGUUCUUUUAUUGAAGAAGAAAAAAUAGUGGAAAAACUAUCUUGACGAUAUUCAAUGAAUAAGCCCCGGCAAACUAUGUGCCAGCAGCCGCGGUAAUACAUAGGGGGCGAGCGUUAUCCGGAAUUAUUGGGCGUAAAGGGUGCGUAGGCGGUUUAAUAAGUCUAUAGUUUAAUUUCAGUGCUUAACACUGUCCUGCUAUAGAAACUAUUAGACUAGAGUGAGAUAGAGGCAAGUGGAAUUCCAUGUGUAGCGGUAAAAUGCGUAAAUAUAUGGAGGAACACCAGAGGCGUAGGCGGCUUGCUGGGUCUUUACUGACGCUGAGGCACGAAAGCGUGGGGAGCAAACAGGAUUAGAUACCCUGGUAGUCCACGCCGUAAACGAUGAGUACUAAGUGUCGGGAUUACUCGGUACUGAAGUUAACACAUUAAGUACUCCGCCUGAGUAGUACGUACGCAAGUAUGAAACUUAAAGGAAUUGACGGGACUCCGCACAAGCGGUGGAUCAUGUUGUUUAAUUCGAAGAUACACGAAAAACCUUACCAGGUCUUGACAUACUCUGCAAAGCUAUAGCAAUAUAGUGGAGGUUAUCAGGGAUACAGGUGGUGCAUGGUUGUCGUCAGCUCGUGUCGUGAGAUGUUAGGUUAAGUCCUAAAACGAGCGCAACCCUUGUCAUUAGUUGCCAGCAUGUUAUGAUGGGCACUUUAAUGAGACUGCCAAUGAAAAAUUGGAGGAAGGUGAGGAUCACGUCAAAUCAUCAUGCCCCUUAUGAUCUGGGCUACAAACGUGAUACAAUGGCUGUUACAAAGAGUAGCUGAAACGUAAGUUUAUAGCCAAUCUCAUAAAAGCAGUCUCAGUUCGGAUUGAAGUCUGCAACUCGACUUCAUGAAGUUGGAAUCGCUAGUAAUCGCGAAUCAGCAUGUCGCGGUGAAUACGUUCUCGGGGUUUGUACACACCGCCCGUCAAACCACGAAAGUUGGUAAUACUCAAAAACGGUAGCCUAACUUCUUCGGAAGAGGGAACCGUCUAAGGUAGGAUCGAUGAUUGGGGUUAAGUCU
rnacentral:rRNA from 1 species